CUUGGUUUUUUGAAAAAGUAAAGUUGGACUUGAAAACACUAGGAGUAACUGCCUUAAAAAAAGUAAUUCUAAGGAAUCAGGAGGCCCUGCUGAAAGAAUGCUCUCUAAAAGCUAUUGGGAACAGAGGAAUUAAGAAGCAAAUCAUAAAACAAAUCUAACAGACAUAGAAAGCAUCCAGAAAGGAGCUGCUGGGAUGUCUUCCAUAAGCAGUAGGACAGAUCAGACACAAAGGGGACAGGACUGGGGAAUUUGAGAAAUGGGGGCGGGCAUUUGAAACAGAUGGUUAUUGGAGGCUGAUUUGAGAAGGUGGUCUGGAUCCAAGAGAAUCAACCUCCAGUCACAGAAGGUAUCUGAAAAGGUACUGAUUUAGCUUGGGAUUCUACUACCUGGGCUAUAAUCAGUAAAAGCAAAGAGGGUUCUUCCCUGUAGCACCAGAUCUAUAUGGCAGGCAAGUUAUUCUGGGUCAUUCUUAGGCAGGAUGUAACAAGGGAUGUGCAGAAUGAAUGAAAGUUGAUUCAUGAUGGAGGUACUGUCACAGGAACAAUUCCCCAGUGAUAUUCUUAUGCCCAAAUGAGAAUCUUUAUUUGAACAUGCUAUGGCUGAUGACAAUCACAUCUUUUGUUUCUAUGACAACACAGAUUUCUGUUUCUUUUCCCAUCCCUCUGCCUCUUCUCAGUCUACUUCACUCUAUCUUUAUGUGUUCCCAAGGGAUCCAUUUGUGGCCCUCUUUCCAUCACACUUGUUCCACUACUUACAUAUGUAUACCAGCAAUAAAUAAAUACCUCCCUUUCCCCCUCUUCUGAAAAUUCUACAGUUAUGUAAUCAAGUAUCUGCCAGAAAUCUUCACCUGCAUUUCCUAAAGGCACUUGAAAUUAAAACCAUCAUAUCUAAAAUUAAACUCAUACUCUCCAGUCUUUUCCCAUUCCUCCUGAGCAAAUUUGCCUUUCUCCUGUAUUUCUCUUCAUAUUUUCUCACAUUACUAUCUGCUAAGGAGUGACUUGUGUCUUCCCAAAAUUCACAGGUUGAAGCUAUAGCCCCAAAGUGAUGGUAUUUGUAGCACCUUGAUCUUGGACUUUGCAGCCUCCAGAACUCUGAGGAAUAAAUUUCUGGUAUGGCAGUGCAAGAAGAAUGUAACCCCACACAAGCCUUUCUGUGUCCUCCAUUUCUUGUUUUUAGGGAAUACGCUUCAGCCUCCAAGGCCUUCUAUGAGUUCCAAAGGUAAGUAGCUAGUCAGGGAAGUGAGACCAGGGAGGAGAAGUCAAGAGUGCAGCCUUGGGGCAAGGUCCUGGUUCCUCCUCAAGGAAUACUUAUAACAAUAUCUUCAAGCCUUUUCUGCAGAAUUAAAACACCCAACAAAUGGAAGAGCUACUUGAUGAAGCAUUCUUCAUUCCAGGAAGAAGGAGGACCACCAGAACCAGUCUAAGGCCACUAAACACCAGCUUUGAAAGACAAUCCAAGGUUGUCUCUACCCUGUUCCUUAUCUGCAGCCCUAUUUUCCAAUCCCCAAACCAUAACACCAUCCCCUAAUCUCUUCCAAAGGGGGCAGAGUCUUGAAGGCAUUAGCUUGACUUGGGCCCCUUUGCCUGGCAAAGCAAUAAAACUAUCUUUUUCUCCUUUAUCCAAAACUCUGUCUUUGAGUUUCUAUUCUGCACCAGUGGACAGAGGCUGAGUUUCAGCAACAAGAUUGAUAUGUUGUUUAUCCAAUCAUCCAAGACAGAGACAAAAUAUUAAUUUCAGGGCCUUUCUUUUCAACUACCUUCAAUAUUUAAUCAACUUUGACAUUCUCAUGCACCGUUUUAUCUCCCUGACUUUCAAAUAUGUCCUCCUUUCUCUGAUUCGACUGCCUCUCCUCUACUUCAAGCCAUACCGUAUCUUAUCUGGACUAUUUAAACAACCUCAUUCAUGAUGUGAGCUGGAGUUCUGCACUUGCCAUCUGCCUCUACAUGGAUUCAGCCAUGAGCCACAGCAGCUGCCAACCUGCAGCACCCCCUGAGUGGAGGUCAGGAUGGAGACCAGGAGUGAGGCAUUCUGUGCUCUGGAAAAACUGGAAGAACAGGUCUUCAGAUAAUUAGAAAUUUUUAGGAGAAGAUUUUAUGAGCCCAAUUCUUGCAUCUCCUCCUAUCUAGAAAAACACAAAUCCUUCACGAGACCAGCAGCAAACUUCUGUAAAAUGUGUGCAUGGCUGAAAUACUGCCUCCUGGGCUAUAGAGCUAAGUGGCCAAAACAAAAGACGUCACAGUCAUCUCUGAAGGCAGUCACUCCCAAGGGUGGGCCAAUGAGCCCUGAGGGAACUCAGUAAAGCAACAAGGAAUAUUGGCCCAUAGCUUAAGUACAUAUCAAAGGAGUGAUUCCAUUAAGCCCAGACCUUUACAUCUUCCCAUAGAAACUAGUUUUCUGUAAAUCUUUUGUUUCUACUACCUUCUCCUUGUUGCAAAAACACCUAUAUAC
rnacentral:lncRNA from 1 species